UUCCGGUUGAUCCCGCCGGACCCCACUGCUAUCGGGAUGGGACUAAGACAUGCUAGUCGUGCGCUUCCAAGCCACGGUGGAGGCGCGGCGCACAGCUCAGUAGCACGUGGCUAACCUACCCUUGGGACGGAAACAACCCCGGGAAACUGGGGCUAAUUUCCGAUAGGUGAAGACUCCUGGAAUGGAUCUUCGCCCAAAAGGCGUUUAGACCAUGCUUCUAAGCGCUGCCCAAGGAUGGGGCCGCGGCCGAUCAGGUUGUUGGUGAGGUAACGGCUCACCAAGCCUUUAACCGGUUCGGGCCGUGAGAGCGGGAGCCCGGAGAUGGGCACUGAGACAAGGGCCCAGGCCCUACGGGGCGCAGCAGUCGCGAAAACUUCGCAAUACGCGGGAGCGUGACGGGGCCAUCCCGAGUGCCGUCCGCUGAGGAUGGCUUUUCCCCAGUGUAGAUAGCUGGGGGAAUAAGGAGAGGGCAAGUCUGGUGUCAGCCGCCGCGGUAAUACCAGCUCUCCGAGUGGUGGGGAUGUUUAUUGGGCUUAAAGCAUCCGUAGCUGGCUGGGCAAGUCCCCUGUUAAAUCUAACGAUUCAAUCGUUGGAUUGCGGGGGAUACUGCUCGGCUAGGGGGCGGGAGAGGCCGACGGUAUUCCCGGGGUAGGGGUGAAAUCCUAUAAUCCCGGGAGGACCACCAGUGGCGAAGGCUGUCGGCUAGAACGCGCCCGACGGUGAGGGAUGAAAGCUGGGGGAGCGAACCGGAUUAGAUACCCGGGUAGUCCCAGCUGUAAACGAUGCAGGCUAGGUGUUCGGGCGGCCACGUGCCGCUCGAGUGCCGCAGGGAAACUGUUAAAGCCUGCCGCCUGGGGAGUACGGCCGCAAGGCUGAAACUUAAAGGAAUUGGCGGGGGAGCACCACAAGGGGUGAAGCUUGCGGUUUAUUGGAGUCAACGCCGGAAAUCUCACGGGGCGACAGCAAA
rnacentral:rRNA from 1 species